rnacentral:rRNA from 1 species
GACGAACGCUGGCGGCGUGCUUAACACAUGCAAGUCGAACGGAAAGGCCCUGCUUUUGUGGGGUGCUCGAGUGGCGAACGGGUGAGUAACACGUGAGUAACCUGCCCUUGACUUUGGGAUAACUUCAGGAAACUGGGGCUAAUACCGGAUAGGAGCUCCUGCUGCAUGGUGGGGGUUGGAAAGUUUCGGCGGUUGGGGAUGGACUCGCGGCUUAUCAGCUUGUUGGUGGGGUAGUGGCUUACCAAGGCUUUGACGGGUAGCCGGCCUGAGCGGGUGACCGGCCACAUUGGGACUGAGAUACGGCCCAGACUCCUACGGGAGGCAGCAGUGGGGAAUAUUGCACAAUGGGCGGAAGCCUGAUGCAGCAACGCCGCGUGCGGGAUGACGGCAUUCGGGUUGUAAACCGCUUUCGCCUGUGACGAAGCGUGAGUGACGGUAAUGGGUAAAGAAGCACCGGCUAACUACGUG